CCCUUAGAUGUUCUGGGCCGCACGCGCGCUACACUGACGAAUGCAACGAGCUUAUAACCUUGGCCGAAAGGUCUGGGUAAUCUCCAAAUUUCGUCGUGAUGGGGAUAGAUUAUUGCAAUUAUUAAUCUUCAACGAGGAAUGCCUAGUAAGCGCAAGUCAUCAGCUUGCGUUGAUUACGUCCCUGCCCUUUGUACACACCGCCCGUCGCUCCUACCGAUCGAAUGGUCCGGUGAAGCGUUCGGACCGUGGCCUUUGGACGGUUCGCCGUCUGUUGGCUGCGGGAAGUUCGUUAAACCUUAUCAUUUAGAGGAAGGAGAAGUCGUAACA
rnacentral:rRNA from 1 species